ACUCCUACGGGAGGCAGCAGUGGGGAAUAUUGGACAAUGGGCGCAAGCCUGAUCCAGCCAUACCGCGUGGGUGAAGAAGGCCUUCGGGUUGUAAAGCCCUUUUGUUGGGAAAGAAAUCCAGCUGGUUAAUACCCGGUUGGGAUGACGGUACCCAAAGAAUAAGCACCGGCUAACUUCGUGCCAGCAGCCGCGGUAAUACGAAGGGUGCAAGCGUUACUCGGAAUUACUGGGCGUAAAGCGUGCGUAGGUGGUCGUUUAAGUCUGUUGUGAAAGCCCUGGGCUCAACCUGGGAACUGCAGUGGAAACUGGACGACUAGAGUGUGGUAGAGGGUAGCGGAAUUCCUGGUGUAGCAGUGAAAUGCGUAGAGAUCAGGAGGAACAUCCAUGGCGAAGGCAGCUACCUGGACCAACACUGACACUGAGGCACGAAAGCGUGGGGAGCAAACAGGAUUAGAUACCCUGGUAGUCCACGCCCUAAACGAUGCGAACUGGAUGUUGGGUGCAAUUUGGCACGCAGUAUCGAAGCUAACGCGUUAAGUUCGCCGCCUGGGGAGUACGGUCGCAAGACUGAAACUCAAAUGAAUUGACGG
rnacentral:rRNA from 1 species